rnacentral:rRNA from 1 species
AGUCGAGGGGUAUGGUUCUUCGGAACCAGAGACCGGCGCACGGGUGCGUAACGCGUAUGCAAUCUGCCUUUCACAGAGGGAUAGCCCAGAGAAAUUUGGAUUAAUACCUCAUAGUAUAGCGACAUCGCAUGAUGAUGCUAUUAAAGUCACAACGGUGAAAGAUGAGCAUGCGUCCCAUUAGCUAGUUGGUAAGGUAACGGCUUACCAAGGCAACGAUGGGUAGGGGUCCUGAGAGGGAGAUCCCCCACACUGGUACUGAGACACGGACCAGACUCCUACGGGAGGCAGCAGUGAGGAAUAUUGGUCAACGGGCGCAAGCCUGAACCAGCCAUGCCGCGUGCAGGAUGACGGUCCUAUGGAUUGUAAACUGCUUUUGCACAGGAAGAAACACUGAUUCGUGAAUCAGCUUGACGGUACUGUGAGAAUAAGGAUCGGCUAACUCCGUGCCAGCAGCCGCGGUAAUACGGAGGAUCCAAGCGUUAUCCGGAAUCAUUGGGUUUAAAGGGUCCGUAGGCGGUCUGGUAAGUCAGUGGUGAAAGCCCAUCGCUCAACGGUGGAACGGCCAUUGAUACUGCUGGACUUGAAUUAUUAGGAAGUAACUAGAAUAUGUAGUGUAGCGGUGAAAUGCUUAGAGAUUACAUGGAAUACCAAUUGCGAAGGCAGGUUACUACUAAUGGAUUGACGCUGAUGGACGAAAGCGUGGGUAGCGAACAGGAUUAGAUACCCUGGUAGUCCACGCCGUAAACGAUGGAUACUAGCUGUUGGAAGCAAUUUCAGUGGCUAAGCGAAAGUGAUAAGUAUCCCACCU